rnacentral:tRNA from 1 species
UACUAGGUGGCCGAUUUUAAGGUGUAAGUCUUUUAAACUUAUUAUAGCAAUGUCUCCUUGUA